rnacentral:lncRNA from 1 species
GUUCUCCUAACUCCAGCCAGGGUUUCAAUCAAUACAGGCCAGCACCUUGAUCUUCAGAACUAUGAGAAAUAAACGCACGGCCAGGCACGGUGGCUCAUGCCUGUAAUCCCAACACUCUAGGAGGCCAAGGCAGGCAGAUCACCUGAGGUCAGGAGUUCGAGACCAGCCUGGCCAAAAUAGUGAAACCCCAUCUCCACAAAAAUACAAAAAUUAGUCAGGCAUAGUGGCAGGCACCUGUAGUCCCAGCCACUUGGGAGGCUGAAGUGGGAGAAUCGCUUGAACCCGGGAAGUGGAGGUUGCAGCAAGCCAAGAUUGCACCACUGUACUCCAGCCUGGGCGACAAAGCAAGACUCCAUUUAAAAAAAAAAAAAAAAAAANNNNNNNNNNAAAAAAAAAAAAAAAAAAAGAAAGAAAUGCAGGUUGUUUAAACCACCAAAUCUAUGGCAUUUUUGUCAUAGCAGCCCAAACAGACUGCCUUUAUGCAAUAACGUAUGUAUAAGGGUACAAACUGUGCCUCACAAGGUAUCUAAAAGUGACCACCACUCUUCUGCUUGAAUACUAACCACACUACACCCAGGGCAUUAGUUCUUAAUUUAAUAAAACACCCCUUCCAUCAACAGCAAUGGCUCGAGGUUGAGGCCCAACAGUUGGAGGACACACCUGCCACUCACAUCAAGUUAAAGACCUGACUCCUAUCCACAAAUAAUCUAUCAGCUUUAAGCUACCAUACUAAGACCUCUUUGAGAAGAGGGACCCCACCUAUUCAUCUCUGCAUUCCCAGAGCUCAGCACAGGCCCAGAACAGGCACUCAAGCACUCAAUAAAAAGCUGCCAAAUAAAUGAGCAAAGCACUCAAUUUCAAGACUUCUACACAAAUAUUGGCAUUCAAAUAUUGGAAUUCAAAUUCACUAGAAUUCCAGUGGGCAGAGCUGUAGAAGACCACCGUUAACCAGCUGCGACCAAGUUAGGUGUCGUUCUCCUCUACUAUGGGACAUCUGAGACAGUAGAGGUAUACCAAGGCAAAGUAAUAGAAUGUAUAAAAGAUAAAGGUCUGUUUGUGAAAUAAGAAGGGCUGUUCAGGAACCAUGUUAGUACUUUUACUGUUUCCCCCCACCCCUUUCUUUAACCAUUAGGUACCAAUGGAUACCAGAUACACAGAGCUGAAUAAAAAGGUUAAGAGAUACUAUCAGUAAAGUUUCCCACCAAAGCCUGCUAAUAGCGCUCUCACUGAUUAGAAAGCACUUCUGUCAUUUGGGAACUCUAAUCCGCUCUUAUCAACCCUCUGGCUUUGCCAUUUAUAAGGGUAGGAAUGAGAGGUACAUCAGCUAUGCCACAGAGUGAUUUCUGGGGCCCCUGCCCAUGAAGAAGCAGAUCAAAAAGGAGCUCAUGCCUGCCAGAGUGAAGCUUUCACCAUAGCAACACAUGUUAUUCUACAAACAGUCGGGACCAAGGCACUCUGUUGUGACCGGUCCGGACAGUGCCCCCAAGAAACAAGUGACUGAGGGUUCAGACAACAGAGCAGGCAAGAGAAAAGUGAUACCUAUUUAACUUGCAGGGCAGUCUCCCUGUGGUUUUUACUUCUCCACAAAGUUAAUAGUGGCAGCCCUAAGACCCUCCAGUACCCACGGACUGUGUUCUAAUAAGAUAAAUGUCAAAGAGAAAACAGGUGUUCUCCAUGGAGCAGCUGCACCACCAGGCUCCCUGGGGAAAAGAAGUUCUGGGGUAGAGAGAUUGGUCUGUUUGGAGAUUAGAUGGCUAGCAGUGGAGAACUUGGGGGA